GCCACACUGGAUGGCGUGAGGCUGCCCCUCCUCAGCACCGCCCGCCGGACUCCGGACGGGCACAGCAAGGCCUCUUCAGAGCCAGGAACAGGAAGCAGUAAAUGCCCGACCGAGGACAAGCUGAGGGAGGGGUGGACAGUCUAGAUUUGGUGAUUUCAUUGCUGUGCAAACAUUACAGAGUUACUUACACAAACCCAGAUGGUGCAGCCUACUCCAAACCUAGGCUACAUGGACAGCUGAUUGCUCCCGGGCUGCAAAGCUGCACAGCAUGUGACUGUACUGAACACUGUAGGCAACUGUAACACAAUGACACAAACACACAGU